rnacentral:tRNA from 1 species
GGGGGUGUAGCUCAGUGGUAGAGAGCUUACCUGGCAUGCAGGAGACCCUGAGUUUGAAUCUCAGCAUUACCA